UGGAAUGGACUUGAAGGCUCAGAAACCAGGAUCUUGGAAUGGCCAUGGCCUUGGAGUCCAGCUGGGGUACAGAAAUGGGCUGGGGCCUAGAACCUUCCAAGGCCAGGGGCCACGGCCAGG